GGGCGGUGCCUGAGGCGGGAGGGGCGGUGCCGCCGCGCUAUCCCGGGGGUGUGGCCGCGGUACGUGCGCUCCGUUCUCGUUGGCCCCGCACCCGGAACAGCCUCUGGCGCCUGCGUGCUGGGGCCGCCGUGCGACUCGCCCGGGAGGAGAUGGAGGCAGCGGCGCGGCGGCGGCAGCAGCGGGGGCAGGAGCGGCAGCAGGAGGAUGGUGGCCGGGUGCAGUCGCGAUCCUUGUCAAUGUCGGGACAGUCCUACUGGCUAGACCUGUGGCUCUUCAUCCUCUUCGACGUGGCGAUUUUCUUGCUUAUCUACCUGCUGCCCUGAAGGCGCGGCCCAGGGCCGCUCUCACCACGGGAUGCACCUUAUGAACACAGGCGGUGGAGGAGGAGGACUAUUCGUGCGGCAAAAGCAACUGGGAACACGACUGCACUCGCAUCUGGAUGCAGAAGGCACACGUUUGUACACUAUAUCCUAGCAGAUAUCUGUGUGUCACAAGAGUUACUGUGCAGSUUUUACCUGGAUCCUGUUUGUGUGUCCUAAAUUGUGCCUUAMAAGUCACAUAAGACAGGCUGACUGUGCUUUUGUGAUAAAUGCCUAAAGGAUUGUUGUGCAGAAGUGGAAGUAUGCAUUGUUUGAAUAAAAUCCAGUUAAAGGACACCCUACAGAG